rnacentral:rRNA from 1 species
CCUACGGGUGUCAGCAGUGAGGAAUAUUGGUCAAUGGGCGCGAGCCUGAACCAGCCAAGUAGCGUGAAGGAUAACUGCACUACGGGUUGUAAACUUCUUUUAUAAAGGAAUAAAGUGAGGCACGUGUGCCUUUUUGUAUGUACUUUAUGAAUACGGAUCGGCUAACUCCGUGCCAGCAGCCGCGGUAAUACGGAGGAUCCGAGCGAUAUCCGGAUUUGUUGGGUUUAAAGGGUGCGUAGGCGGAGCGUUAAGUCAGUGGUCAAAUGGAGGGGCGCAACCCCGUCCCGCCAUUUAAACUGGCGCUCUUGAGUGGAAGAGAAGUAUGCGGAAUGCGUGGUGUAGCGGUGAAAUGCAUAGAUAUCACGCAGAACCCCGAUUGCGAAGGCAGCAUGCCGGCUUCCGACUGACGCUGAAGCACGAAAGCGUGGGGAUCGAACAGGAUUAGAUACCCCAGUAGUC